rnacentral:tRNA from 1 species
UAGCUCAGUUGGUUAGAGUGCCGGCCUGUCACGCCGGAGGUCGCGGGUUCGAGCCCCG